rnacentral:rRNA from 1 species
CCUACGGGAGGCAGCAGUCGAGAAUCAUUCACAAUGGGGGAAACCCUGAUGGUGCGACGCCGCGUGGGGGAAUGAAGGUCUUCGGAUUGUAAACCCCUGUCAUGUGGGAGCAAAUUAACAAGAUAGUACCACAAGAGGAAGAGACGGCUAACUCUGUGCCAGCAGCCGCGGUAAUACAGAGGUCUCAAGCGUUGUUCGGAAUCACUGGGCGUAAAGCGUGCGUAGGCUGUUUCGUAAGUCGUGUGUGAAAGGUGCGGGCUCAACCCGCGGACGGCACAUGAUACUGCGAGACUAGAGUAAUGGAGGGGGAACCGGAAUUCUCGGUGUAGCAGUGAAAUGCGUAGAUAUCGAGAGGAACACUCGUGGCGAAGGCGGGUUCCUGGACAUUAACUGACGCUGAGGCACGAAGGCCAGGGGAGCGAAAGGGAUUAGAUACCCUAGUAGUC